rnacentral:rRNA from 1 species
AGCUAGUUGUAUUAACUAUUAGUUAAUACAAGAUCGACUAUGUCGACUAAAGUUCUAGGUAGAAUAAUGAUGAUGACAAUUUUCUACCUAUAUGUCUUGACCAAAUCUCGUGCCAGCAGUCGCGGUAAUACGUGAAAGACUAGUGUUAUUCAUCUUAAAUAGGUUUAAAGGGUACCUAGACGGUUUAUCUAGCCCAAAACAGGGUACGGAUUUUCUAGAGUUUUAUGUGAGGAGGGGAGUACUCAUAGAGUAGAGAUGAAAUUUUGUGAUACUAUGAGGAAACUGGUGGCGGCGAAAGCAACCUUCUAUGUAUAAACUGACGUUGAGGGACGAAGGCUUGGGUAGCAAAUAGGAUUAGAUACCCUAGUAGUCCAAGCAGACAAUUCUGAAUGCCAUAGAUUAGAUUUUUUUGGUCUAUAAAUGAAAGUGUAAGCAUUCCACCUUAGGAGUAAUGUGGCAACACAGGAACUGAAAUCAUUAGACCGUUUCUGAAACCAGUAGUGAAGUAUGUUAUUUAAUUUGAUAGUCCUCAAAAAACCUUACCACAACUUGAAUGUUAUUUAAUUAAUACAAGCGUUGCACGGCUGUCUUCAGUUAAUGUCGUGAGAUUUUGGUUAACUCCCUCAAUUAACGUAAACCCUUACUUUA